GCUCCGGUGGUGUAGAGGAUUAUCACAUCGUUCUUAUACUUGAGGGGUUCUCAAGAUAUGCGAGGGUCCUGGGUUCGAUCCCCAGUCGGAGCA